rnacentral:lncRNA from 1 species
CUGCGCGUGCACAGGCUGCGUGCGCGUGCACAGGCUACGUGCGCAUGCACGGGCUGCGUGCCCACCCACAAGGCUGGCCCUGCUUACCUGCAGCAGGACAAAAAAACGAGGUGGAAACAGCAGGUGGCAACAUAUACUAUGAAAACAUCUGGAGACAGAUGGCAGCCUGCAGGACUGUAACAAGAGCCAACCCACCGAGUCCUGGCCUUGAACUACAGACCACCUCAUUGAGCUGUCAGGACUCUGCCUUACGUAAAAGGUGGCAAACGGAGGAUCAGAGAGGCACUGCGAGAGGAUGCACUCUGCCAACUGAAGCCCCGGAAUCGGCAGUAGUUGAUGACAGCAGCCUCUACCGUGACCAGCUGUGGCCCCAAAGGCGGAGUCGGUCACCCUGCAGGCGUGAGGGCCGCUGGGGCUCAGGACGGGCCCUUGAUCUAUUUACCCAUCAGCUCUGCGUACGACGGCGACAGGACUGAACCAGGUCUGUUCUCUGUCCGCCCGCGCUCUCAUCGCGGUGAGUCCCAGACAAACCGGCACUCGCGAACGGAAGGGGCAGGAGCAGCCCACGGCCUUCCCGGGGCCAGGAGGUAAAUGAGGCCGCUCUCGCCUGGACCAGCGCCUCUGUUCCACUCUCCCUGUGGGGCCCUCGGCUUCAAGAGAGGCCUCCAGAGAGCCCAGCAAUGCAGAUGCAGGUGAAUCCGUCCACCUGCCCGCCUGCUGCUGUUGGGCUGAGCUCCUGGGCUCCCCGCUAGGCCAACAGCAUUCUGUACCCCAGUCUUGGUUUUUAGCACAUCACCCAUCGAGGGCCUGGAGGGCGCAGAUGCACGGUCACCUGCGGCUCCCCCAGGCUGUGGCCCAGGUGGAAUUUGGACCCAGGCAGCCCGCCCCAACGCACGCGGGAAUCCAGUGCUGCUCCGGACGGGUGGUUCUCCCUCCCGGCGCCUCCGUCUCCCCAGAACUGGAGCUGGCAGUGCCUACUCCAGGGGGUGCGCGCGCAGAUGACCCGAGCGCGUCCUCGGGACGCCAGGCCCAGCGCCUGCCCCAGGCGCCCAAGGAAUGAGCUGGAAUUCAACCGAUAGCGCCAGGCAGCACGGGCUGGCCGUGGGCAUGGGCACAGGGGUCAGAGGACGGGCCCUCCAGCUUGGCUCCCCCCCAGCCCGUGGCCCUCACAAUGUCCCCGUGACAAAGCCAGGCCUGGAUGUGGCCAAGCGGCCAGUCGGCCAGCCUUUCCCGCUGUUUCCAGGAACGGGUACCCUGGUCAGCCGGGCUGCACUGUCCACCACGCGGCCCGCGGGAUUUCCCACGCCCACCCGCCCACUCCUCGCGUCUCGGCCAGGGACACUACCGCUCGAGGGCCCGGGCCCUCGCCAGCAGCAGGGGCGCACAUCGGCCAGAGCCCAGCCCCCCCCGCACGCCCGCACUGAAGGGGAAGACACGGGGACGACUCCCCAGGCCCCACUCUGACUCACCGCGCGC